AUUGAACGCUGGCGGCAGGCUUAACACAUGCAAGUCGAGCGAGCGGCGGACGGGUGAGUAAUGCCUGGGAAACUGCCUGAUGGAGUGGGAUAACUACUGGAAACGGUAGUUACUCCCGUAUACCAUCAGAUGUUCCCAGAUGUGAUUGGCCAGUGGGUGGGGUAAUGGCUCACCUAGGCGACGAUCCCUAGCUGGUCGGAGAGGAGGACCAGCCACACUGGAGCUGAGAUAGGGUCCAGCUUGCGCCGCGAGGGAGCAGGGGGGAAUAUAGCACAAUGGGCGGAAGCCUGAUGCAGCAAUGCCGGGUGUGUGAAGAAGGGCUUCGGGUUGUGAAGCACUUUCAGCGGGGGGGCGUUACUCGCAGAAGAAGCACCGGCUAACUCCGUGCCAGCAGCCGCGGUAAUAC
rnacentral:rRNA from 1 species